CCCCUAGAUGUUCUGGGCCGCACGCGCGCUACACUGAACAGUUCAACAAGUCUUAACCUUGGCCGAUAGGUCUGGGUAAUCUUUGAACGCUGUUCGUGAUUGGGAUAGACCUUUGCAAUUAUGGGUCUUCAACGAGGAAUUCCUAGUAAACGCAAGUCAUCAGCUUGCAUUGAUUACGUCCCUGCCCUUUGUACACACCGCCCGUCGCACCUACCGAUUGAAUGGUCCGGUGAAAUCUCGGGACGGCGGCUUGGUCGCUUGCGUCCGACUGCUGAAACUUGAUUAAACCAUAUCAUUUAGAGGAAGGUGAAGUCGUANC
rnacentral:rRNA from 1 species